GGAACUCCUCGGAGAGGAACAGGUUUGGUUCAAGGCCGUGUCUGGUCUCGAGUGUUUCCCCUUGCUCUUUGAUCAGCACAGGGGACAAACAAACCGUUGUCUGAUGAGAGGAAGCAUUCUUCACGACUGGGUGUCUCAAGUGCUCACGACAUUAAAAUAAUCAGCAGAGCCACAGUGUAGUGAGUGUGGACCGCGGAGGAUGUGACUGGGGUUUGAGUCCAAGGCACAGCUCCACCCAGCCACGAUGACCUCAGUCGGCUUAUAAAUGUCACCACGUGACCUGUAACCUUUCAUCUCCCUCUCUCGUCUUUUGAAUCCUUUUGGAAGAUGACUUAAAUGAUAAAAAAUGGCUUUUCAGUAGGCCGUGUGGUGGGAUGGAAGCCAAAUAUAAACUUAUGUGUAGAUAUCAGAUAAAUUCAUCACCAAUGCUGAGGGACAUGAACAGGCAGCCACUGGUCAUAAAUAUCAAGAAAUGCUCUGAGUCCGUGGUCAGGGAUUGCAUUGAAAAAGGAAAAUCUAGGCAUAUCACGUUACAUAUUCCUAGUCUCAGUGAUGACUGGGUUCUGGGCAGUUCCUGUCCUAAGCGGUGCUCCCAGCUGCAUGUUUUGAUUUUUCUCUGAAUUUCCCAGUUUACCACCGAUAUCCAAAAGUGGGAAUCACCCCCUCUCUCCUCCCUGUUAGGGGGUGAAAUCACUCAAAGCAUGUUUUGGCUACACAGUGCUCUUACCUUGUGAGAGUGAGCCCUGUUGGAAUUUGGUCAGUGGUCUGGCAAACCCAGGAAGGAGUUAGCUUAUUCUUCAGGAAGGACUUUCUCUUAAUCUCCUGAGUAUUUGUCCUUCUGAGCCUGGCUUUAUUUCAAGGCAAAGGCUCUUUUGAAGUGUUAAAUGUAUUAAGAGCUGUUACCAGUAAAUAGAAAGGAGACCUAACCAGGGCUUCAGCCAAAUUACAGACUUUGAGGUGGCAAUGAGAGUUUGACAGUAGCGGCUCUUCCAGACAGACCCAGGAAACACACUCGGAGUGAAACCUCAGAGCAUGCGUGUGUUAUGCAGUGGAAGAGCAUUGUCUGGAGUCAGCCCCCAACACUGCAUAAAAGGAGGACAUGGGUUCCGUUGGUAAAAUGCUUGCCACAUGAACAUGUGGACCUCAGUCCAUCCCCACACUGAUGCAAAAAGCCAAGCGUGGCGGCACAUAUUUUUAAUUCUAUGCUGGAGAGAUGGUGACAGGAUCCCGGAGCCUGGCUAGUGAGCUUCAGGUACCCAUGAGAGACCCUGUCUGAAAAACAUGAACUGGAUGGCAACUAAGAAAUGACACCUGAGUAAUCUCUGGGCGCCACAUGCAUGCACAUGCAUGUGAAUGCAGACUUGCACAGCACACUGAAUAUGUGAAUGCAAAUGCACACCCCUCCGAACACACACACACUGCAUAAAUGUAAUGAUAUAUUAAAGAAUAAGGAGAAAAAGGCACCACUCCUUAUAUUUAUGGAAUGCUUCUAUAAUAUAUUGACUAGAUUAUGGAAAAUGUACCAUUGCCCAGCAAACAGUAACCUUUUGAGACAAAGCCUUCCUUAUACAAAGCAAGACAGCUUAAGUUCCCUGAACAGAUAGGUUCAUCCCGCGAAACGUCUCUGUUGAAUACCAAUCUUCUCAUGGAUUGUGGUUAGCUGCUGCUUCAUCCCAGUUAAGCCUUGGGAUUUGUCCUGGUGGAAUCUCAGAAAUUCCCCUUUUAGAGCUCUCUGUCUGGUUAAAUGCCAGAUAACACGGCUUCUUGCAACUCCUUUAUUAAGAGUCCAUUUCUGGCAGCUUUGACAGAGAUACCAGAGGGCAUUAAAUGAACUAGUUGUCUAUUCUUGUAAUAAACAGGGAGCUGGUCAUUUUGAAGAUUUUUUUUCCUCUUUAUGAAAUAGAAUUACGUUUCUAUUUCGUUGGUCUCCUCACAUGUCUUUUCUGAUGAAAUUUAAAAAAAAAAAAUUCCAACAUUGGCAGCAGCUCCCAAAUACCCGGGCUGCCACCAUGUCAGAAAAGGAUGGCAUCUCAGUCCUUUAUCAGGGCCCCUGCCAGUAAGUGGGACGUUUUUCUUGAGAACUGAAGUUACAUGGCCCAAGUCAUUCAGCAGAACUUGAUGAGCAAGAGGAGGAGGGGCUAAAAGUAUCCAGCCAUACAGUACCCCAGCCCGUGGCCCACAGCUCAUGGGUCUGGACCUCUGACACAGGGCUAUAGCAAGGAGUGCUGCAGAGUCCCUGCCUCAGCCGGCUUACAUUCUAGGAGAGACACUUGCUGGAAGGAGGUCACUGGCCAGGAACUGCAUCCAAACACCAGCAAGAAGCAUUGAGUACUGGCUAUUUAGAGAGUGGCAGGAGACCAGUGUCUAGCAUUCUACAGUUUGAUUGUUGUAGUGAGGACUGAACCCAGGGCUUUGUGGCUGCUAGGCAAAUGCUCUGUUACUGAGCCCUAACCCUGAGAUGUCCAUUUUGGAGCUGAGAACCUUCCGGAGGAAGUGUCAUUAGACUCUAUGGAGUAAGAGAGAUCUGCACAGGAACAGGCUGAGGACAUUCCAGGAGGAGGAUGGCGAGGACCUUGCUGACUCCGCCUGCCUAACCGCAGACGCCCCUUGUCUGAGACCUUGGAGUCUUCAGCAGGCCAGAUCUCUGGUUCAGAGUGAACCCUAGUCAGGUGGAGGGUGGAAAGUGGCUGAAUCUGCUGGGUUAACAUCAGUGUUAGUCAGUAAACCCAGACAAGGCUGUGGCGUUUAGUUUGAAGGAGGAGGCAAGGACUUUGAACUGCGUCAAAGCUGGAGUGAUGUUAAAUCCACGGUGGGGAUCAGAUUUGCUUAAUGUGAAAAACUUGAAGCACACUUAGGUGGAGCACAGGAGCAGUGGAGGCUAAAGUAACUACCCUUCAAAGUUAGUAUCUCUCAGUCCGGGUUAAUAGAGCAGGUGAAUGCUAGAAAGAAUAAUUUUAUGUAAAUUCCAGUUGCCCUUGAAGAUACAAGGAAUGGCUGCCUCUCCAGGGGAAGCUGGUCUGCAUUUUGUUUUCUGAGAUCACAAGAUCUGUUCCUUAGAAGGAAACUUAGCAGUUACAUAGCGUGAAUCAGGUCUCCAACACCCUUGGUGACCUGUAGCCGUAGAGAACUCAUUACUUCUGAUAACAUUAUUGAGCACAUAGCCUGUGACGGAGCCUGAUACUGAAUCUAGGAAGAUGAAGCAAAGAGUUAGAGUUCUCAGAUGCAGGAAGGGUAUGUGUAUACUCACAAAAGACAUGCAUAUGAGAAUAACUGCAUUCAAUGGUGGUCGGAGUGGUUGUGCAUUGGAGAGAUAAACGACAUGCAUACGAUAAUGCUGCAGUCAGCGCUGGUUGGGGUAGUUGUGCAUUUCAGAGUUCCCACAGUGCCCUACCCUCCCCGUUUCUGUAUUUGGGAUACUUUUACUAUUCAAAUCACUAUGGAUUUUCACUCUGUGUUGGAUCUCUCCUCUUAGCUCUUGGGGAUUUUUAGGAUAGAGCUCUGCUUCCUUUGGGGUAUGCAGGUAGAGCAUCUGUAAGAAACACAUAGCCUCAGAGGACAUUUUUCCCAAAGCUGUGGGAAUUGCCAGGCCGGGGGCCACCAUGGCUGUGUUCCCGCCUUCAUUACUAUGGAGGACGCGAUGGAUAAAGAAUACCUCACGCCCAACACCCUAGUCCCCGGUGGGCAACACCGUGGACCUGCCCAUGGCCCUAGAUAACUAUGACAACCAGGCCAUAGAGAGCACAUAUGUGUGUGCAGAUGAUAAUGAAGCCCAUGGAAUAAUGUGUGGAACAACCUAGUUGUAAUCGGCUGAAUUUAGCUUAAAAACUCCGGUCUGGCAUGGCAAAAUCACUCACCUCCUGAGUGCCCAGCGGAGAAACUUCCAGCCGAGAAAUAAGUCUGGUAGACCCCACGCAGACACGUUCAUCUGCUGCUUAGAGAGCAAAGCCUACAGGACUCAGCUCAGGUCCAGAGGCUCCCAAGUAAGGAACAUGAGUCUCGCCUUACCUGCGCACUGCCACUGGGAGCUAAGGAAACACUUGCCAAACUGGAAAGGUUAGUGAGAGAGUGUUUAUGUUAACGAACGAAUGUGGGCCCUUGUUACCAUUUAUUUGCUUUUUGACAUUUACGAGUAAAUAAAAGUACUAAAACCUUUUCCACCAGGUUUUGAGGAAUUUGUCUCUGCCACGCUUUACAGCCCAAAUCGCGAUAGCAUCCUUUCUCUGGGUGGUCCUCCCAUGCUAUGGGCUGGAACCCCACCACCAUCCUCUUGGACAUGCACCUCUGGCCUCCCUAUAGCCUACCCUUUCCACCACUGAGGGGACAAUUGAGGAGCCAUAGAAAGUAUGCCUAUGGCCUGGAGAGGUGGCUUAGCAGUUAACAGCACUUGCUAUUCUUGCAGAAGGCCUGGGUUCCUUUUUCCAGCACUUACAAGGAAGUUCACGUCUUUCUGUAACUACAGUUCCAGGAGAUCGUAUGCAGGCACUUGAUAUACAUGGUGCAAUACAUACAUACAUGCACAGGCAUAAAAUAUAAAUAAAUAAACCUUUAACAUUUAAAAAUAUGUAUAUAUUUAAUAUUAAUUUUAUAUAAGAAUAUAUUUAAUAUAACUAUAUUAUAUAUAUACAUACAAUAUAUUAAAAAGGAAAUAUGUACUAUGUUUUGGGUAUCCAUGGAGUUUGAGAUCCACUGUCCAUCCCUGAGUCCACAGCUUGCUGAUAGUUCCAGCUUGUUAUCAGCCCCAGCUGCCUUACCACGUAACCCACACAUCUAUCUAGGUUUGGGGCUCAGUGGACAAUUCUAGGCAUGCCUACCAUCACAUCCACCUUUUCUACUUCUAGAGCCCAAACCGUUCCUCUAGAAGGACACCCUUCCGCUCAGUGUGGAUUCGGCCACACACCUGGUCAGUGUCCUUCACUUCCUCCUCCUCCUCCUCCUCACUCAAGCCUUCCUCCUUCAGCCUUCCUUCUCCCUCUGUGAAUAUGAAGCUGUAACUUGAAAAGGGCUGGAGUGGUCCCGUGAACACUGGCUGCACAGGCCUCAAUCGAUCGUUCCAGUGGCUGUCACUAAUGAAGGCCACUGGAGGAGUGUUGAUUGGGUGAAGGACGCAGCUCAAGUCACACCGUUAGAAUUCUCCUUUGAGAUCGACAGGCACUCGUUCAGGUGAUGUGUACCCUGGGGUCGGGCAUCCUCUCCGUCAUCGGCAGCAUCCUUUCCUUUGUCAUCCCUCCAUGUCUUUGCGAGCCCGGGAGCUUAGUUGGACCUUCUGUUUCCUUACUGAGCCCUUGCUAGGUGUCCCCACAUAGUUCAAUCUCAUGCACAAACCCAGUGUGGUUUCUCAUCCAUGGGGCUCUCAGAAACCCAUCCCAGCUCCGGGUUGCAGUGCCUCACUCUCUCUUCUGCUCACUUGAUCCUAGGAACUCAUACUCUGCUGCUUUUCUUCCCUCAUAGCCUUGCCAAUUCCACCUCUGCCCUGAGACCACCACUGCAGGUAUCUGCAGAGGCCAGAAGAGGCCCUUGGAUGCCCUAGAAAUGGAGUAUGGAUUAGCUGCUUGAUGUGGGUGCCGAGAACUGUACCCAGGUCCUCUGCAGAACAGUCUGUGCUCUUUACUGCCAAGGCCUCUCUCCUGUCCCUGAAUGGCACCUGUUAGUGUGAUGAUCGAGAAAUGCUCUCCAGGGGCUGGAGAUGUAGCUCGGGUGGCAUAGUGGUUCCCUGGGGUUCUCAAGUCCCUGGGGGCCAUCUCUGGUACAUAAUCCUGAUAUGGUAAUCUAUACCUUUAUUCCUAUCACUCUGGAGGUGGAUUUGGGAGGGCCAUGAGUUAAAGGCAGUUCUUGGCUUUGUAGUUGAGGCUACAUGAAAUCCCAUCUCAAAGAAAGAAAAAGUGGGAAAUGGGGAAACAAGAAAGAAAACAUGUUGUUUACACAGGGCAUCCACAGGGUGGUGGAUGCCUGUAAUUCCAGCACCUGGCAGGGUAGUGUAAGAAAGAUGGUUAUAAAUUUGAGGUCAUCUGAGGCCACAUAACAAGACCCAGUAUUAAAUGCAGUGAUAAGAAAUAUGAUCUCUGAACCAUUCAUCAGUGAGGAGAUGAACAUUAUUUUAAGCCCUGGCUAUUCCAUGGCCUCUCUCAUUGAGCAACAGAAGUCAGUAGUUCCCUAAGAUUUCUCGUGAAUGGACUACUUUCACAUUUCUUACUACAUAAAAGGAGGUAAAUUACACCUGGUUUGUUUCUGAUAUCUGGUAUGAGUGACACAGCCUUUGAAAUAGCAGGCUUGGAAGUUCUGGGAAAUGGCCUCUCGUUUCUCUUGUUAAGAAGGGGACUCCGUAUGAUACCUUGUUUUGUUAGAGAAUUAGGUGUUUUCCCUCGCCUGCUUUUGUCUGCUUUUCUGCUCAUUAUUACUUAGUUCCCGGCAGGCAGGGCAAGGGGAGGAGUGGCCUCCCUAACUGUUGAAAGGGAGAGUUUUAUGGCUGUUAACAGGGGAUGAGAGGACUCCACUUCCCAGAAUAGGAAAGAGCCCUUCCUUGAUCCUGCCUGUGCCUUUUGGAUUUCCAGUCUCCCCUGCCUUCUCUAACACAGCCUCUGCUACUAGGCAGACAACUUCUGGGGCCGUGCUUGUUAUUCAGUAGGGAAUACCAAGGGGACAGGACUUACAGCUCAGUGGCCAUGUGACCUAGAUAGACAUCCCUACAGGGGAAGGGAGGUUUCUCCCUUCAGUGAUUUGGCAGGUUGACCUCUCUCACUUUCUGUCUGUUUCCCCACCUGGAGUACCCAGGUUAUAGGUUUGUCAUGAGAGUAAAGUAAUGCAGGUCUCAGCAGGGUGGCUCUCAGGACUGGGCCUUCUCCACAACUGGCCCACCAGCUGCGUCCGUGGUGCCUAGCCACUGCCUACAUGGAGCUUCCUGGUACAGAAGUGCCUGGGCUCUCCUCUCCUGAGCAUCCGCAGGGCAGGUCCAGUCCCAUCCAGACACCCUAUUCUGUCUUCGUCAUUUGUCACAUCCAGAGACCCUGUUGACCAAGUUGUUUCUGCGUCUCAAGUCUGCUGACAUGGCCUUCCAUCUCCGAGCACAUGGCAGCACUCUUGGAUAGCUGCCCAUAGCCUCUCCCUGUGGACAGGCUGUAGGCUGUCACUGGAUCUUACUCUAAAUGGCCAAGACUGAUGGAGUCCUUGGCAUCUCAACUUCAGACUGCAGACUAAGACAAGAUACUACACUGUGGACUAAAUGACGAAUGAUAGCCCUUGGUCCCUCACAGCCCUGAGAAGGAUGGCCGUCUACAUCAAGGCGCUGGCUGGUUCCAUUCCAAGAGAAGACUGUCUGUCGUCCUAGUCUGCAGAUGGGUGAAUCCGCACUGCAUCUGCACAGGGCAGGAUGAGAGAGGCCAGGCUCUGCUCUCUUCCUCUUCUUACAAGGACCCCUGUCAGGGCAUUGGGGUUCUAGUCUCAUGGCCUUCUCCUAGCCUAAUAUCCUUCAAGAUAUCAUCUUCAACAAUUGGUGGUGAUUAUGUUUCAACAUACUAAUGGGCUGGAGAGGCGUUCAGUCCUAAACAGAGCUUCUAUUGCUUUUUCUGUUUAAAUAUUCUGUUUAAGACUAGAAUGUUCCUAAGUAUAUUUUCUGCCUUCUAAAUAGAUACAUGAAAGAAUCCAGCAAGCGGCAAGGAACACAGGGACCUUAGCAUGUGGGGACACUUCUGUGUGGAGCUGUGUCUGCGGGACAGUCACUCACUCGUGGGGGCGGGGACUGUGUCUUCCCUACCUGUGAGCAAUGCCAGCCUGUGGAACUUGGCCCAGCUGUCCUCCCAACAGCUGCUUGACUGCUAGAUUCUGUAUAGGCUUAAAAGAUGAUCGUAACCCUCUUCAUCUCUUCAAAGAUACCUCAUGACGAUUUUUUUUUUUUAAUUUUGCAAGAAAGGAUUACUUGAGUCACUCUGAUGAACUUGCUUGACAAGGUAAAAUGGAAGGGAUCUUGUGCCUUUGAAGCAGUUGGCUUUCCUGCUUGUGAGCUUUUCUACUAGGUGUGAGCUAGGCUGCUCUCGCCCCAUCACAUCUCCUGACACGCUCUCCUGGCACUCUUCAUCCCCUACCCCCUCUGGCCUCUGCGCAGUUCAUCCAUCCCGUAGAUGGAGACUUGGGUUUUUACAAAAUGACUGCCAUGGCACAUUCUUGGAGGGCCUUUGAUGUGUUUCCAUAGUCCCCUGCCUGGUCCUUCUGCGGACAUCCUUCAGAAACACAUUUCCAAUUCUCCAGGACAACCCCCUCUAUGGGGAGCUGCAUGUUCUUUGAAAUGUCGCACCCGCCAUUGUCAGCAAUGGAAAUGGCUCCUUCCCUCGUAUCCUGGGGAGGUUUUCAGGCCCACCAUUACGGUAAGGCCUGGUGUGUGGGGCAUAGGUGAAUCAGGACCCAGUGUCAGAAAUAUCUCAGCGGAAUUCAACUGGUCUGGGUUUGUACACAUUUCAUAUGCCUGCCUCUCUGUUUCUCGUCCAGCCGUUGGAAGGAAUCUGCUUGUUUAUGAAAAGACAGGAGAGCCCCAGACCCCGGGGUGCGUUCCUGCUAUUUUUUUGCAGUUCUUCUCUGUGUGGGUUGACAGAAGAAACUGCAGCCUGCCAGGUGGCACACAGAGGCUGCUCUGUGCUGGCGCUGAGGAAAACCACAGACACUCCUGAAGUGUAUUGGCUUGGAACACACCGCAGCUUUGUUUGCCUUUUUUUGUUUCUGGCGCUUGCAAAAAGCAACUUCUUUGAAGAAGAAAUUGUUACCCAGAACAGACUCCUCUCUUGCGGGAACCGUGAAGAAGAUGCUGCUUCAGCAGCAGAGAUGGCUGGGCGGAUGAGGUGCUGGUGACGCGGUGGGGACGAAGGUUGGCGGAUGUUUCCACCCUCUUACCGGAGCUUAUGCGGACAGACUGGAGUUGAGCAACCAUAAGAAGGUCACUGCAGAGUUCUGAGUCCAACCGCCACCAUGUGCUGUCAGCUCCCUGGCUGCAGAAGGAUCCAGCUGCUGCUUGGGCAGGGUCCCCUUGAGGCUGUGACUUCUCCGUCUUCUUCCUCCCGCUGUGCCGCUUCUGGAACCCAGGACCGCUAGCCCAGGGGAUGCCAACUCCCACGUUGAUCACUAAAGGAGGAAAUGCCUUACAGCUGGAUCUCCUGGAGUCAUUUCCUCAGCUGGCUAACUGGGCUCCUUCCUCUCUGCUCACUCCAGCUUGUGUCGAGUUGACACACAAACCCAGCCAGAGCAUCCUUCCUCUCAGAUGUACCCGUGGAUGUGGUGGCAUCCCCUUGUCCUAACGUAAUAGAGAUGUGGAUGAUAGAGCUAAGCUGUCACUGGAUUCUUUUCUGUGCCAGGUAUUUCGCGCAGAGUGUUUGCAUUUACUUGAUCUAUCUCGUUCUCAUAAUCACCUUAUGGCAUAUGCUAUAAUUUCACGGAUGUGUAAAUUGAGGCUUAGGCAGGUGAGGCGGCUUGCCUACAAUCACAUAGGCAGUAAGCAGAGAAACUGAGAUGCAAAACAAUUUUGCCAGAUGAAAGAUAAUAACAAGUGCUAAUGAAGGUGUGGAAAGUGAACCCUUGCACAGUGUUGGUAAAAAUAUAAAUUAGAAGAGCCGUUAUGAAGAAAGGAAUAGAGGUCCCUCAAAAAAUGAAUUAAUCUAUAAAGCUAGGAGCCAUGUGAAAUAGUAUAUAGAGAUAAUCCAAACAUCUAAGAGGCUACAACAGGAGGAUCACACUGAGUUCAAGCCCUGCCUGGAUUGCACGUUGACUUUGAGGCCAACCUGAACUACAUACUGACAUUGCUUCAAAUGAAGAAUUAAAAACAGAAUUGCCGUGUCUGGGGAGGGAGGUGGGUCAGAGGGCAAAGUGGUUACUGUGCACCGGCAAGGACCUAAAUCCAGAUCCCCAGCGUCCGUUAAGAUCAGGACAAGAUGGCACACACUUUUAAGUCUGGCACUGGGAGGUCACAAGAUGCCAGGAUCUCACUAGACAGUAUAGCCAAAAUGGUAAACUCCAGGUUCAGGAAAGGACUCUGUCUCUAAAAACAAACAAACAAAAAUGAUGGAGAAGCAGUUGACAAAAAAAAAAAAAAAAGUCUAGUGUCAACGCCUGUCUUCUACAUACUUCCCACACAUCAGGUUGGCACACAUACAUGCAUACGUAUACAUAGCUCUGAAGAAAAAAAAAAAGACAAAAUAACAAAAGCUGGUUGUCCAGUUUCUGGAGUGGCGAUUUGUUGAAAACACUUGUUGCUUUCACGUUUGUAAUGGACUGAGCUGUAUCUCGUGUUUAGAGCAGCGCUUUAUGUUAUGAGUGAUUCGGCUUUCCUCUCUUGCUUGCUGGGACAGCCGUAAUCUGAGCUGGAUUGCAGCAUGAAUAUGAGGCAAGUUUAGGAAUGUGUGCUAAUUUACAUCAGCUCCUAUUAUUAUAAUCUUAAUAUUCUUAAUCGCACACACACACACACACACACACACACACACACCACCAUUAUUUUCCCUUAUUCUCAUCCCUUCUCUUUCUGCAUCUGCUUCCCCCCGACCCCCCAAGGGGGUCAGAAUCUCCCUUCCUUGUCACCCUAAGCACAGGUGACCAGUCACUCCACUCUCCCUCCACCUAGACUCAGCAUCUCAGAGUGGCAUUUUCUGACUUCUGCCAAGGUCAACAUCAUUGGCCUCACUACCCCCUCCAUGCCUGGAGCAUACAGGUAGGAGAAGGAUAAAAACUUGUCACAUUCCAGUGCUAGGCCAUGUGUGUGUGCUUGUCAUGUCAGCUCUGGCUAUUGGAGGGACAGUCGCCAGAGGACGGUUUGUGCUCGUUUUUAAAAAAUAAGUUUCAAGAUUUAAAAGUUAGUGUUUAAACUCCAAAGCUAAGAUAGUCAACUUUACGUGCAGAAUUAGGACGUAAGCCGUGGUAGUAUUGCUGGCCAGUGAUGUCGCUACCAGAGUCCCCAGGUUCCAUCCAGACUGCUCAUCUCUUUGCUAAUGCUGAGUUGAAAGCCAGUUCUCAUGAAUGAGCCAGGACCAGCCUUAAUUGCUGCUGACAUGGGUCACCAGCUAGCCUGGAGAAGGCAUCAGUUGAGACGUAGUACUUCUUUCACUCUUCUUCUCUGAUGUCCCUAAACAGCCCUUCCCUCUUUCCAGCAUGAAGUGUGAGCUUUAGUUUUAGACAGGCUCUGUUAAAAUCUUCAGGAGCAUCAAAGCAAGACUCUCUGGGUCCAGAUUAAAAACUCAAGUAGAACUUUCUCUUUUAGUCCUUGUUAGUUUUCUUUCCACCUUGAUAUUUUGUUUCGAGUUUCCUGUAUGGCCUGGCUUUGAAUUCACUGUGUAGCUAAGGAUGGCCGUGAACUUCCACUCCUUGCACCUCCAUCCCAAAGGGCGGGGGCCACCAGCUUGUAUGCCCAGGAAAUAGCUGGAAUCCCCCCUGCUCUUGUGCUGCUUUUCUUUGUCUUUUUUAAGAUUUAUUUAUUUUAUGUACAUGAGUACACUGUAACUGUCUACAGACACACCAGAAGAGAACAUCGGAUCCCAUUACAGACGUUUGUGAGCCACCAUGUGGUUGCUGGGAUUUGAACUCAGGACCUCUGGAAGAGCAGUCAGUGCUCUUGACCUCUGAGCCAUCUCUCUAGCCCCCAUGUGGUGUUUUUCUUAAGCACCACCUUUGUAUUUCUCCAUGUGGUAAAAAUUAGCCCGACACAUGGUUGUACGUGGCUCCGUGGCUCUCGGUGUGCACUUUCCUAGCUCUGGUCCCCAGAGAGAAGAGCCGGUCAUAAAUGUCUGCAUCCCAGCGGGAGGACUUGAGACUUCCCUGCUCUCUGGGGUGGGGAGGGGCUCUGGAGAAGCUGGGGAGCACUGACAGGGAUGAAGAGGAUGAAGAGGAGGAGUCCCCACAGAAGAGGGUGGGCGCCACAGGUUUCUGGUAACCAGGUAACUGCUGUUUUCUCAUCACAGGCUCCUCAGGAUUCACUGCAGAUCUAAGCACCUACUCUACACUUGGCUGACUUACCUGUGACCUUAGAGUUGUAGGUUUUUUUUUUUUUAAGCUUGCAUUAUCAUUAUUAUUCAGCAGGCAUGGACUAGCACUUCUUCCUAAUUUGUCAUAUUCGGCUCCCCAGAAUUAAAAGUCCAGGGAGAGCGCCUCACGCUUCUGACACCAGAAAAAUGACGCCUUGGCUCCCAUCACUUUUGUAAUCUAAAAAAUGAGGAAUGUAUGCGGUUUGUUUUGAAGUCCUGUGUAAUCAGAAAUAGACCAGCUCUCUGAAGCAGUACUGACAGAUGGGAGCAUCAGCCUGCUUUCCCUCCGCAUCGAGAUUCUAACCUCAUUCCAGGUGACAGAGAGCAUACUGAAUAUACUGUAUGCUUGAAGAGUACCGAGCGUGGGUGUGCUAUAUUCUCCCCAGCAGAAAGUAUAACUGUGGGGUAACGAGUGUUAUAUGGAUUUAUUCAUUCCAACACACACACAUAUACACACACACACACUAAGAACAUCCAACUUAUUAGGUAAUGUAAUAUUUAUUUGCUGUUUAUAUUUUGGGAACGCUCCUCAUUGUCUCUCUCUCUGUCUCUGUCUCUGUCUGUCUGUCUCUUGCUCACUCGCUCUCUCUUGCUCUGUGUGUGUGUGUGUGUGUGUGUGUGUGUGUGUGUGUGUAGCCCCAGGCUAGUUUCAAUGUCUCUAGCCUAGGCUGGUCUCCAACUUGAGAUGUCUUGCUUUCACCCUGAAUGCUGGGACUGUAGACAUGUACCACCACAAUGGAAGUGUAUGUAAGCUCAUCUGUUCCUAUGGUAUAAGGUUUUCUUUUACCCCACUCUGGGGAAAAAAGAAGUCUGAAUUAAUUUACAACUGAUAACAACUUGGGUGUGCUCUGAACCCAUCAAAAGUAAAGUCCUCAGGGGUCCUCCCUGUGUUGCAUGCACAGAGCCCCUGGCACUUGGUGGUACCUGUCUCCAGCACUGUCUUUUCCUGGAAUUUAGAAUUAGAUAAGGAAACUAGGCUCUCAAAUUAUCAUCGGUUUCCAUGGAAACAGUUGAAAGCCCCUCAAUUAAAAGUGUCCCUGCAGGCUAGGGAGAGUAUUCAAAUGAGCUGCUCUGAGAAGCCAAGUUAUCCUCAAAGUGAAGCCAGAGAGGACGGAGGAGCAAGGAGUCUGCUAGAGCACCAGUUGCGAUCUCUAUUAUUUUUUUUCCAUUCAGGGAAGAAUUUUAUCUUGGUAUUUCAUUUGUAGCAUGUUUGUUGGCUUUGGCAGAGCCACCUAGAUAAUUGUCCUGUUAUCUACUAAGUUUUUUAUGCUCGCCCAUGGAUCACGGAAGUGUUUGAGAACGCUCUGAGCUUUGCUCACACAUGAAUAUGAGUCACAGAUAAAAAGCCCAUUUAAAAAAAUUGAUGAUAUCCUAGAAGAAUACUAAGUUGGAAAGAGUCUGUGGGUCAUUAAGAACUAACUUCCCACCCAUUUGGGAUUCCUUGCUAGAGUGCAGUAACAGAGGUUGUUCAAGGUAUACUUCAAACAAAAAAAAAAGAAUUUAUUUAUUUCAAACGUAUGAGCGAGUUACAUGCAUGUAUGUCUGUUUGCCGCAUGCAUGAUGCAUGGUGUCCUCAGAAGUCAAAAGUGGACAUUGGAUUCCCUGGAAGUAGAAUUAUGGGUGACUGCACUAUGUAGGUGCUGGGUUCUCUACAAGAACAGCAAGUGCUAACCACGGAGCCAUCUCUUCAGUCCCCUCACAUUAUACUACUAAGGAAAGCAGUGUGUGUGUGUGUGUGUGUGUGUGUGUUUCAUGGUAAGUGCUGGAGAGAUGGCCCAGUGGUUGAGAGCACUUGUUGCUCUUCCAGAGGUCCUGUGUUUAGUUCCUAGCACCAACACGGCAGUUCACUACCACUUGUGACUCCAGUUCCAGGGCUCUGACAUUGUCUUCUGACCUCCAUGGGCACUAGGCAUGCAUGUGCUACCCAUAAAUGCAGCCCAAACACUCGUGUACAUUAUAAAAGAAGAUUUAAAAAGACAGUAAUUGUAUACCUGUCAAGCCAGGUGUGAGAUCUCUGCUUGGAAGUUGGCAGUAGAGACUGCAAACUCAGGGCCUUGCUAAACCAGCACCUCAUGGUUCCAGAAGUCACAUAGAAAAACUGGAUGUAGCAGCACACGCCUGUACUUAAUACUAGGGAGGCAGAGAUGACAUAACCUUAGGGCUUGUUGGCCAGCCAGCCUAGCGGAAUGUAUGAGCCAGUUCACUGAGAGGCAGUUCGCAAAAGCUAAGAUGGAUCAUGAUUGAAGUUCAACACUCUAGUCCACAAACACAGUUGCAGACUCAUACACACGUUUGACACACACACACAAACACAUAAACUCACAUGCGCACGCAUCUGUUUGUUGUCCCAAGAAACACACUUUAUCAUCAGAGACAAAAACCUGAAGAUGAAAGGUUUUUCAGCCCUGUGGAACUGGAAAGAAAUCAGGGUAUAUCAGAAAUAAUCUGACAAGAUAGACUUUAAACCACUUAGAUGGAAGAGAUAAAAAAAAAGUUACUUAGUACUAAUUAAAAGAAAAUCACAAUUUGAAACAUGUGUAUACCAGACAUGUGUGUAUCUAAUUUUAUAAAACAAACACUGUUGGAUUCAAAGAGGCAGAUUAACCCCCAACCCAGUAAUAGUUAGUAAUGCCAGCACUCUACUCUUACCAAUAGGCAGUCCAACAAAACCUAGAAACAUCUAAGUUAAAUGACACAGGUCAGAUGGACCUAAGAGACAUCUGUGGAAUGGUUCACUUAAACCCUGUAGAGUCCACAUUCUUUUCGAAGCUCAAGGAACCAUUGUAUACUGUCUGAUGACAGUGGAGUGAACCUUGAGAUGAACAGCAAGAGGAACUGCAGAGUGUAGAGCUGAGGACCCAGGACACAUUCCUGGAUGAAAGCAGUCCUAAGCAGUUAAUUCAUAGCUACAAGUAUGUACACUUAGAAAUUAGAGCUCAGGGUUGAAGAGAUCGCUCAGCAGCUAAGAGAAGAGCCCUGGCUGCUCUUCCAGGGACCUGGGUUUUAAUUUCCAGCACGCUCAUGGCGGACUGCAACUGUAACUCCAUGUCUGGAGAGAUCUGUCUGACACGUCUUCUGGCCUCUGUGGCACAAAUGUAGGGCACAGACAAGCAUUCAAACUGAACACUUGUACACAUCAGAAACAUUUAAAAGUUAUUUUUAAAGAAGAAACCAGCUAGUGAUACAUGUCAGGGCCUUGGUAAACAAGAACAAGCCAAACAUAAAACCAACAGAUGGGAACAAAGACUCAGGAUCAGGGCAGAAAUGAGCGUCAUGAAACACUCAAAUGACAAAGAAUCAGUGAAACAGGGCUUUGGAAAAAUAAACAAGAUUCACAUGCUCUUAGCCAAACCAAAAGGAAAUCCAUGCAAA